GGCUCCAUAACUCAGUUGGUUAGAGCCAAUCUAGUAAAGUGGAGGUCGCGAGUUCGACCCUCGCUGGAGCCU
rnacentral:tRNA from 1 species